AGCAGCCAUUGCGGUAAUUCCAGCUCCAAUAGCGUAUAUUAAAGUUGCUGCGGUUAAAAAGCUCGUAGUUGAAUUUCGGAAUUGAUGCAUCGGUCGUGCCUUAAGGGGCAUGAACUGGUGUAGCCAAUUUCUCACCUUCUGGUGAAUUGUGAUGUUCUUAAUGGGUGUCUCAAUGAACUAGAAUUUUUUACUUUGAAAAAAUUAGAGUGUUUAAAGCAGGUAUUAAUUUGCUUGAAUACAUUAGCAUGGAAUAAUGAAAUAGGACAGUGGUUCAGUUUUGUUGGUUUCUAGGAUCACGUAAUGAUUAAUAGGGACAGUUGGGGGCAUUAGUAUUCAAUUGUCAGAGGUGAAAUUCUUGGAUUUAUUGAAGACUAACUAUUGCGAAAGCAUUUGCCAAGGAUGUUUUCAUUAAUCAAGAACGAAAGUUAGGGGAUCAAAGACGAUUAAGUACGUCGUAGUCCUAACCAUAAACUAUACCAACUAGGAAUCAGACGAUGUUAAUUUUUUAAUGACUCGUUUGGUACCUUACG
rnacentral:rRNA from 1 species